CUAAGAUGAACCCCAACAACCCCCAACUCCUCACUUUCCAGAGCAGUCCACGGAUAUUUUGAUCCAAGAGAGAAUUACUCUGACAAGGAGUCCCUGUCGUUCAUGAUAGACACAAUGAAAUCCACCCUCAAAGAGGACUACUUCGGAUACAAUCACAGCAACCCUGGCCUCGGCCCUGCCCUGUCCCUGCCAUGCAACUUCACAACUCAGCUGGCCUAGACCCCUGGGAGGCCUCCAAGUCCCUAAGCGGUUCCAGUUUGUGGAAGUCCCAGGCAAUCACUGUGUCCACAUGAGCGAACCCCAGCACGUGGCCAGUAUCAUCAGCUCCUUCUUACAGUGCACACACACGCUCCCAGCCCAGCUGUAGCUCUGGGCCUGGAACUAUGAAGACCUAGUGCUCCCAGACUCAACACUGGGACUCUGAGUUCCUGAGCCCCACAACAAGGCCAGGGAUGGUGGGGACAGGCCUCACUAGUCUUGAGGCCCAGCCUAGGAUGGUAGUCAGGGGAAGGAGCGAGAUUCCAACUUCAACAUCUGUGACCUCAAGGGGGAGACAGAGUCUGGGUUCCAGGGCUGCUGUCUCCUGGCUAAUAAUCUCCAGCCAGCUGGAGGAAGGAAGGGCGGGCUGGGCCCACCUAGCCUUUCCCUGCUGCCCAACUGGAUGGAAAAUAAAAGGUUCUUGUAUUCUCACUGCUUUUGAGGCUUUUUCGUUGCCAGCAAGGGCUUUUGCAUUGAGGGAAAAGGAAGCACAGAACGGAUUCAUCCAGGGUCCUGGAGAGGAGGGUGUGGAGGCAAGAAGCAGGAAGGACAAGUCCUCCUCUCGGCACGCCUGGGUCCCCAGGACUGCUGAAGCACAAGACCCGAGGGGUGGCCUGGUCCUUCCCUCCUGGCCUGUGUGGACUCUGAUGGGGCUGUUGGACGCGGUGGCCUUCAACCUGGGGCCCGUUGGCCAGAGCUCGGCCUCUCAGAGACCGCUGCAGGCCCUGCCUCGCCUCCUCCUGGCCCUGCACCUCCAGCCAUUCACUGCGGCUCUCACAGCUCAGUACGGUCGGAAUUUGCGCUGGGCCCGCAGCAGCUCGAUCCUCUGCUUGUCCUCCUCGAACUUCUUGCGCAGCUGCGCUAGAUC
rnacentral:lncRNA from 1 species